GACGAACGCUGGCGGUGUGCUUCACACAUGCAAGUCGAACGAGGUAGCAAUACCUAGUGGCGGACGGGUGAGUAACGCGUGGGAAUCUGCCUUUAGAUGGGGGAUAACGGGUCGAAAGACUCGCUAAUACCGCAUAUGACGAAAGUUGAAAGGAGUAAUCCGUCUAAAGAUGAGCCCGCGUCCGAUUAGCUAGUUGGUAGAGUAAAAAGCCUACCAAGGCGACGAUCGGUAGCUGGUCUGAGAGGAGUGAUCAGCCACAAUGGGACUAGAGACACGGCCCAUACUCCUACGGGAGGCAGCAGUGGGGAAUUUUACGCAAUGGGCGAAAGCCUGACGUAGCGACACCGCGUGAGCGAAGAAGCCCCUUGGGGUGUAAAGCUCUGUCAGCUGGAACGAAAAAAAAUGACGGUACCAGCAGAGGAAGCGAAUCGGCUAACUAACGUGCCAGCAG
rnacentral:rRNA from 1 species